UCUUCCUUCUCUCUUCUCGCUGUUUUGUUCGCUACUGUGUCUUCCAUUUUCAUUCUCUAUCUCUCUGAUUUUUGUUCUUAGAUUAGGUUACUUUUUCUUUACUUAGAAAUCAAAGGCAGAACUUCACUGGGAGAGCAAUGGUGAUAGCAAAAGUGAUUCAAAUCCAUGUAAAUGUAAGGACUGUUUCUGAGUCUCUUUGAUUUUCCCAUCUGAUAUGCAAAUUUUAGUGCAUUUGAGUCAGAUGGGUUGAAAAGAUCUGUGUGCUUGUUAUAAAACUAAAUUAGAAAUGGCAGUUGCUGGCGUGCAUAAUGUGGCUGUGCAAUCUACUUUCCUAAGGGAAUCCCAUUCUCAAUCAUCUGGGAGGCAGGGAGAUGGAGGGAGGGGAGGCACCCGGUCGCCUUCGGUCUUGCAAAUGUGGCGAGAGAUUGAAGAUGAGCAGGUAGUGAGACAAGUUCAAGGAAGACCUGGGGAGGUACAAAGGAGUGAUGGGUUGGUUGUGGACCUCUCACAGGAAAAUGUGCCCAAUAGCAGCAACCAGAGAGAAGAGCAUAUGAUAGAGGAUGCAGUUUUGGGUGAGAAUGAUUCUGAAACCUGGUCGCAAAGUCAGAAUGAGUUCCAUGAUGAACAGGAGGAAUUAAACAAUUCUAGCCGUGAAACCUCCUCUGAUUUUGGAGUAGUUGAAAGGGAAAGAGUGAGACAAAUAUUCAGGGAAUGGAUGAAUAGUGGUUCUAGGGGUCAUGCAUCGAAUAAUUCCCAAGGAAAUAAUUCAAGGGGAGAAUGGCUGGGGGAAACUGAGCAGGAAAGGGUGAGUGCCACAAGGGAGUGGGUACAGAUGAGUAGCCAUCAGAGAGGUGUUUCUUCUGGGGAAAAUAGGGAAGAGCAAUCUUCUGAAAAUGGUACCCAAAUUGAAUGUGUUCGUGAUGGAUUUGUUGUUAAUCAGAACGAGGGCCAAUGCCAAACUGAGCAUACACGGAGGGGAAUCCGUAAAUUAUGGGGUCGACAGGUGUUUCUUGAUAUGCUUAAGAAGGCUGAGAUGGAAAGACAAAGAGAAGUACAGGAACUGUUGGACCAUCGAGUUGUAUCUCAUUUUCCCCAUCGCAAUCGCAUUCAGGCCUUGCUUAGAGGCAGGUUCUUGAGAAAUGAUAGAUCGAUUGAUAAUAACAGGUCCACUUCCAUUGCAGAAAGUGAAUUAGGCUUAUUGAGACAAAAGCAGACUGUAUCAGGUCUAAGGGAAGGUUUCGUUUUUAGAAAGGACAAUUUUGGUUGUAGUCAUGCAACCAGUAACACAUCUGAUACCUCAUCCGAGAACGACAUUGAUGUUAAUACAAUUGAAGACACUGGAGCUAGCAGCUCACAAGCAGUCCCAACUGUACAUUCUCAACAAUCUGAACCUAAUAACAGGGUAAGUGAUGGACUUGAGAUAUCAGGUGAUCAGAUUUGUUCAAAAGGAACCAUUUGUGAGAAUUUAGAUUGGCAAGGCUCUACUGCUCAUGUGGAAGCAAGAGAUUUGGAAUCAUCUUUCAGUACCAGGGUUGAAAGAGGAGAUGGCACUGGAGGAAAUGUUGAUAUGAUGCCAACUGAAAAUCCUUCUAAUGACUGUAGUCAACUAAGCUUGCAAAUUGAAGAUACAGAGCAUGACAAUAUGCAUGAGUUUAGUGAGGUACAUACUGAGCAAUCUCAGCGGGGUGAUAUAAAUAAUGAUGAAAGCAAUUUUUCAAAUCAUGAUGAUCGUGUAUACAGCAAUAUUGUUGAUGAUGUAGAUUUGAUUGAAUCUAUUGCUCUGGAAGGGGAGCAACAGGAAGAAGUUAUUAUUGAAAAUGACGGAAGUGACUGGCAUCAAAGUGUGGAUGAUAUUCAGCUCAGUAGCACAACAAAUGAAUGGCCCCAAAACAUAUUGGGAAGUGAAGAUGGAGAAAAUUCUCGUAUGCAGGAGCAAGAAGUCCCUGAAGUGUGGCAAGAGGAUGGUGGCUUUCAAGAGGCUGUGGAAAUUUGGUUAGGAGGACCUUCUGAUAAUGAAGUAGCUCCAGUUGGUAGAAUUCAUGGAUUUUAUUUUCCUGAAGAUGACAAUGUAUACAGUGUUGAACUCAGGGAAUUGCUAAGUAGGAGAAGUGUCUCAAACCUCCUUCGCAGCAGUUUUCGUGAAAGUCUUGAUCAAUUAAUACAAUCAUAUGUUGAAAGGCAAGGUCAUGCUCACGUUGAAUGGGAGCUGCAAGAGACAACCCCUUCUUCUCCCUUGGCAGAACAAGUAUCGGGGCAACGGAGUAGGGGUCCAAUUGUUGGUCCUCAGGCUACUGUUAAUAGCUCACUUAACAGACCCUUGCCACCAACGCCUCCGCCUCAGCCUUUAUGGGAUCGGCACUCACGUCAUGACAAUUGGUCCCAGAGUGACAUAAAUAAUCAGCGCUUAGGAAUUGUGCGUUCAUUUGCCGGACAUAACUGCUUUUCUUUAGCUGAUGAGUGGGAUAUUGUUAAUGACUUGAGAAUUGACAUGGUUAGGCUACAACAAAGGAUGAAUAAUAUGCAGAGAAUGCUGGAGGCCUGUAUGGAUAUGCAGCUUGAGUUGCAACGCUCAAUAAGACAAGAAGUCUCUGCAGCCCUAAAUCGCUCAACUGGUUCAUCAGUCUUAGAUGACCAAAUGGAAUUCAUCACAGGAAUACAAAACCGUGUUUCACCAGACGAUAAAUCUAAAUGGGAAUGUGUGAGGAAAGGACUUUGUUGUAUAUGCUGCGAAAGCAAUAUUAAUUCUUUGUUGUACAGAUGUGGGCACAUGUGCACAUGUUCAAAAUGUGCCAAUGAUUUGCUCCAAAGUAGAAGAAAGUGUCCAAUGUGUCAAGCACCAGUGGUGGAAGUGAUACGAGCUUAUUCUAUACAAUAGUUUUGACAUUAAAGGGUCACACAUAUAACAGAAUACAGGAUCCUAACAAGUUCUAUCUCCUGGACGUUUCCAGCGUAUUGUGUGUAGGUUUCUUGAUGAAGAAAUAAGCAGAAUUUACGUUACAAGUGAUGGCUCAGUUCACGCUUGGGUUAUGUAAUAUCUAGAAAAACAAUUUUUUCCCACAACUAUUUGGCAUUAUUUUGUAUAGAAUUGACAUUUUUUCCCCACAUAUAGUAUUUCUUACAAGGUA